CCCAGGUCAGGCGGGAUUCACCCGCUGAGUUUAAGCAUAUCAAUAAGCGGAGGAAAAGAAACUAACAAGGAUUCCCCUAGUAACGGCGAGCGAACCGGGAACAGCUCAGCUUUAAAAUCGGGCGGCUUUGUCGCUGAAUUGUAGUCUGGAGAAGCGUCCUUUGUGGCGGAC
rnacentral:rRNA from 1 species